rnacentral:rRNA from 1 species
UUAAGCGACUAAGCGUACACGGUGGAUGCCCUGGCAGUCAGAGGCGAUGAAGGACGUGCUAAUCUGCGAUAAGCGUCGGUAAGGUGAUAUGAACCGUUAUAACCGGCGAUUUCCGAAUGGGGAAACCCAGUGUGAUUCGUCACACUAUCAUUAACUGAAUCCAUAGGUUAAUGAGGCGAACCGGGGGAACUGAAACAUCUAAGUACCCCGAGGAAAAGAAAUCAACCGAGAUUCCCCCAGUAGCGGCGAGCGAACGGGGAGGAGCCCAGAGCCUGAAUCAGUGUGUGUGUUAGUGGAAGCGUCUGGAAAGGCGCGCGAUACAGGGUGACAGCCCCGUACACAAAAAUGCACAUACUGUGAGCUCGAUGAGUAGGGCGGGACACGUGGUAUCCUGUCUGAAUAUGGGGGGACCAUCCUCCAAGGCUAAAUACUCCUGACUGACCGAUAGUGAACCAGUACCGUGAGGGAAAGGCGAAAAGAACCCCGGCGAGGGGAGUGAAAAAGAACCUGAAACCGUGUACGUACAAGCAGUGGGAGCACAGAGCAAUCUGUGUGACUGCGUACCUUUUGUAUAAUGGGUCAGCGACUUAUAUUCUGUAGCAAGGUUAACCGAAUAGGGGAGCCGAAGGGAAACCGAGUCUUAACCGGGCGUUAAGUUGCAGGGUAUAGACCCGAAACCCGGUGAUCUAGCCAUGGGCAGGUUGAAGGUUGGGUAACACUAACUGGAGGACCGAACCGACUAAUGUUGAAAAAUUAGCGGAUGACUUGUGGCUGGGGGUGAAAGGCCAAUCAAACCGGGAGAUAGCUGGUUCUCCCCGAAAGCUAUUUAGGUAGCGCCUCGUGAAUUCAUCUCCGGGGGUAGAGCACUGUUUCGGCAAGGGGGUCAUCCCGACUUACCAACCCGAUGCAAACUGCGAAUACCGGAGAAUGUUAUCACGGGAGACACACGGCGGUGCUAACGUCCGUCGUGAAGAGGGAAACAACCCAGACCGCCAGCUAAGGUCCCAAAGUCAUGGUUAAGUGGGAAACGAUGUGGGAAGGCCCAGACAGCCAGGAUGUUGGCUUAGAAGCAGCCAUCAUUUAAAGAAAGCGUAAUAGCUCACUGGUCGAGUCGGCCUGCGCGGAAGAUGUAACGGGGCUAAACCAUGCACCGAAGCUGCGGCAGCGACACUGUGUGUUGUUGGGUAGGGGAGCGUUCUGUAAGCCUGUGAAGGUGUGCUGUGAGGCAUGCUGGAGGUAUCAGAAGUGCGAAUGCUGACAUAAGUAACGAUAAAGCGGGUGAAAAGCCCGCUCGCCGGAAGACCAAGGGUUCCUGUCCAACGUUAAUCGGGGCAGGGUGAGUCGACCCCUAAGGCGAGGCCGAAAGGCGUAGUCGAUGGGAAACAGGUUAAUAUUCCUGUACUUGGUGUUACUGCGAAGGGGGGACGGAGAAGGCUAUGUUGGCCGGGCGACGGUUGUCCCGGUUUAAGCGUGUAGGCUGGUUUUCCAGGCAAAUCCGGAAAAUCAAGGCUGAGGCGUGAUGACGAGGCACUACGGUGCUGAAGCAACAAAUGCCCUGCUUCCAGGAAAAGCCUCUAAGCAUCAGGUAACAUCAAAUCGUACCCCAAACCGACACAGGUGGUCAGGUAGAGAAUACCAAGGCGCUUGAGAGAACUCGGGUGAAGGAACUAGGCAAAAUGGUGCCGUAACUUCGGGAGAAGGCACGCUGAUAUGUAGGUGAAGUCCCUCGCGGAUGGAGCUGAAAUCAGUCGAAGAUACCAGCUGGCUGCAACUGUUUAUUAAAAACACAGCACUGUGCAAACACGAAAGUGGACGUAUACGGUGUGACGCCUGCCCGGUGCCGGAAGGUUAAUUGAUGGGGUCAGCGCAAGCGAAGCUCUUGAUCGAAGCCCCGGUAAACGGCGGCCGUAACUAUAACGGUCCUAAGGUAGCGAAAUUCCUUGUCGGGUAAGUUCCGACCUGCACGAAUGGCGUAAUGAUGGCCAGGCUGUCUCCACCCGAGACUCAGUGAAAUUGAACUCGCUGUGAAGAUGCAGUGUACCCGCGGCAAGACGGAAAGACCCCGUGAACCUUUACUAUAGCUUGACACUGAACAUUGAGCCUUGAUGUGUAGGAUAGGUGGGAGGCUUUGAAGUGUGGACGCCAGUCUGCAUGGAGCCGACCUUGAAAUACCACCCUUUAAUGUUUGAUGUUCUAACGUGGACCCGUGAUCCGGGUUGCGGACAGUGUCUGGUGGGUAGUUUGACUGGGGCGGUCUCCUCCUAAAGAGUAACGGAGGAGCACGAAGGUUGGCUAAUCCUGGUCGGACAUCAGGAGGUUAGUGCAAUGGCAUAAGCCAGCUUGACUGCGAGCGUGACGGCGCGAGCAGGUGCGAAAGCAUGUCAUAGUGAUCCGGUGGUUCUGAAUGGAAGGGCCAUCGCUCAACGGAUAAAAGGUACUCCGGGGAUAACAGGCUGAUACCGCCCAAGAGUUCAUAUCGACGGCGGUGUUUGGCACCUCGAUGUCGGCUCAUCACAUCCUGGGGCUGAAGUAGGUCCCAAGGGUAUGGCUGUUCGCCAUUUAAAGUGGUACGCGAGCUGGGUUUAGAACGUCGUGAGACAGUUCGGUCCCUAUCUGCCGUGGGCGCUGGAGAACUGAGGGGGGCUGCUCCUAGUACGAGAGGACCGGAGUGGACGCAUCACUGGUGUUCGGGUUGUCAUGCCAAUGGCACUGCCCGGUAGCUAAAUGCGGAAGAGAUAAGUGCUGAAAGCAUCUAAGCACGAAACUUGCCCCGAGAUGAGUUCUCCCUGACCCUUUAAGGGUCCUGAAGGAACGUUGAAGACGACGACGUUGAUAGGCCGGGUGUGUAAGCGCAGCGAUGCGUUGAGCUAACCGGUCUAAUGAACCGUGAGGCUUAACCUU